GCCGGGACAGUCCCGGGCGCAGCGGAGGUGGAGGAACCACUCGGGAACCCGUCCGCGGGGACCCUGGGGUGAAGCGCUCGAGCCGUCCAGUUCGGCGAGCGCCGGGCACCUGACUCGCCCGAACCCGUCAGCUAACUUCACAGGCGUCGGUCAGGAAAGGU
rnacentral:sRNA from 1 species